AGCAGAACCUGCCUGAAUCACAAUGUGGCUUCCGACCAGAUCGUAGCACCAUCGACAUGGUCUUCACGGUGAGGCAAAUGCAGGAAAAAUGCCUUGAGCAGAACCUGAGUCUCUACAUUGUCUUCAUAGACCUGACAAAGGCAUUUGACACAGUGAACAGGGAUGCAUUGUGGGUGAUCCUCAGCAAGCUCGGCUGCCCAGCAAAAUUCGUCAGACUGAUCUAGCUCUUUCAUAUCGACAUGAUUGGGGAAGUCCUAUCUGGUGGAGAGACUUCUGAUCGCUUCAACAUCUCCAAUGGCGUGAAACAAGGCUGUGUCCUCGCUCUGGUACUAUUCAACCUAUCCUUCACCCAAGUAUUACGACAUGCUGUGAUGGAUCUAGACCUGGGCGUCUACAUCAAAUACCGACUGGAUGGCUCACUAUUCGACCUUCGCUGCCUGACUGCAAAAACAAAGACUACAGAGAAACUCAUCCUGGGAGCUCUCUUCGCAGAUGACUGUGCUCUCAUGGCCCACCAAGAAAAUCAUCUUCAAACCAUUGUGGACAGGUUCUCCACCGCAACAAAACUGUUUGGCCUGACUAUCAGCCUCAGCAAAACAGAGGUGCUGUUCCAACCUGCACCAGGGAGGCCAACGAACCAGCCAUGCAUUACAAUCAAUGGCACGCAGCUUUCUAACGUCAACACUUUCAAGUACCUGGGCAGCACCAUCGCCAACGACGGGUCCCUAGACCACGAGAUUAAUGCCAGGAUCCGAAAGGCCAGCCAGGCACUCGGGCGGCUGCGCUGCAAAGUCCUCCAACACAGCGGUGUAAGCACUGCGACGAAGCUCAAAGUGUACAACGCAGUGGUCCUCAGCUCGCUCCUGUAUGGUUGUGAGACAUGGACACUGUACCGGAAGCACAUGAAACAGCUGGAGCAAUUCCACCAACGCUCCCUCCAGUCAAUCAUGAGGAUCCGAUGGCAGGACCGAAUCACCAACCAGGAAGUCCUCGGCAGAGCCAACUCCACCAGCAUCGAAGUCCUGGUCCUCAGAACCCAGCUACGAUGGUCUGGACACGUCAUCCGCAUGGACCCCCAGCGAAUACCAAGACAGGUAUUCUAUGGUGAACUGUCAGCUGGACUCAGGAAACAAGGCCGACCAAAGAAAAGAUUCAAGGAUCAGCUAAAGUCCAACUUGAAGUGGGCUGGCAUGACACCAAAGCAGCUAGAACUCGCUGCCUCUGUCAGAAGCAGCUGGCGAACCCACAUUAACCUGCUGCCACCACCUUUGAAGAUGAGCGACGUCGACGUCUUGCCGCUGCGCGUGACCGCCGACACCAGGCCACAACCACACCUCCCGUAACAACUGGAGUCCCAGGCCCCAUGUGCCACACACUGUGCGCCUCAGCCUUUGGACUCCAAAGCCACAUGAGGGUACACCGUAGAUGAAACUGCACAAAGACAAUAGUCAUUCUCGAUCACCGAGAG
ensembl:lncRNA